rnacentral:rRNA from 1 species
GUGGGGAAUAUUGGACAAUGGGCGAAAGCCUGAUCCAGCCAUGCCGCGUGUGUGAAGAAGGUCUUCGGAUUGUAAAGCACUUUAAGUUGGGAGGAAGGGCAGUAAGUUAAUACCUUGCUGUUUUGACGUUACCGACAGAAUAAGCACCGGCUAACUUCGUGCCAGCAGCCGCGGUAAUACGAAGGGUGCAAGCGUUAAUCGGAAUUACUGGGCGUAAAGCGCGCGUAGGUGGUUCAGCAAGUUGAAGGUGAAAUCCCCGGGCUCAACCUGGGAACUGCCUCCAAAACUACUGAGCUAGAGUACGGUAGAGGGUAGUGGAAUUUCCUGUGUAGCGGUGAAAUGCGUAGAUAUAGGAAGGAACACCAGUGGCGAAGGCGACUACCUGGACUGAUACUGACACUGAGGUGCGAAAGCGUGGGGAGCAAACAGGAUUAGAAACCCCUGUAGUCC